AUUGAACGCUGGCGGCAUGCCUUACACAUGCAAGUCGAACGGCAGCACGGGAGCAAUCCUGGUGGCGAGUGGCGAACGGGUGAGUAAAGUAUCGGAACGUGCCCAGUCGUGGGGGAUAACGUAGCGAAAGUUACGCUAAUACCGCAUACGAUCUAUGGAUGAAAGCGGGGGAUCGCAAGACCUCGCGCGAUUGGAGCGGCCGAUAUCAGAUUAGGUAGUUGGCGGGGUAAAGGCUCACCAAGCCGACGAUCUGUAGCUGGUCUGAGAGGACGACCAGCCACACUGGGACUGAGGCACGGCCCAGACUCCUACGGGAGGCAGCAGUGGGGAAUUUUGGACAAUGGGCGAAAGCCUGAUCCAGCCAUGCCGCGUGCAGGAUGAAGGCCUUCGGGUUGUAAACUGCUUUUGUACGGAACGAAAAGGUUUGGCCUAAUCAGCUGAGCUCAUGACGGUACCGUAAGAAUAAGCACCGGCUAACUACGUGCCAGCAGCCGCGGUAA
rnacentral:rRNA from 1 species